CGGACUCCUCUUUCUCCCGGAAGCGGAGCACCGAGCCGGCAAAGGCUUGGGUGUGAGACAGCAGCGGUGGCAGACACCGCAGAAGCAAAGAGCAGUGAGGCUCCUGCAUUCGGGUGGAGCACCAUGGACGAAGCUGGCAGCUCUGCGAGCGGCGGGGGCUUCCGCCCGGGCGUGGACAGCCUGGACGAACCGCCCAACAGCCGCAUCUUCCUUGUGAUCAGCAAGUACACGCCUGAGUCGGUGCUGAGGGAGCGCUUCUCGCCUUUUGGCGACAUCCAGGACAUCUGGGUGGUGCGGGACAAGCACACCAAGGAGUCCAAGGGCAUUGCUUUCGUCAAGUUCGCCCGCAGCUCACAGGCCUGCAGGGCCAUGGAGGAGAUGCAUGGCCAGUGCCUCGGCCCCAACGACACCAAGCCCAUCAAGGUUUUCAUUGCUCAGUCCCGAUCAUCUGGAAGUCACCGAGAUGUUGAAGAUGAAGAACUUACAAGAAUCUUUGUUAUGAUACCAAAGUCCUACACAGAAGAAGAUCUGCGGGAAAAAUUUAAGGUGUAUGGAGAUAUCGAGUAUUGCAGCAUUAUUAAGAAUAAAGUCACUGGAGAAAGUAAAGGUUUGGGCUACGUACGAUACUUAAAACCAUCACAAGCUGCCCAAGCAAUAGAAAACUGUGAUCGAAGUUUUAGAGCAAUCUUGGCUGAACCUAAAAAUAAAGCAUCUGAAUCCUCUGAACAAGAUUAUUAUAGUAAUAUGAGGCAAGAAGCUUUGGGACAUGAACCUAGAGUAAAUAUGUUUCCAUUUGAACAACAAUCUGAAUUUUCAAGUUUUGACAAGAAUGAUAGCCGAGGCCAGGAAGCAAUCUCCAAACGCUUGUCAGUUGUAUCAAGAGUUCCUUUCACUGAAGAACAGCUUUUCAGCAUUUUUGAUAUAGUACCAGGAUUGGAAUAUUGUGAAGUUCAACGAGAUCCUUAUUCAAAUUAUGGUCAUGGAGUGGUUCAGUAUUUUAAUGUAGCAUCAGCUAUUUAUGCAAAAUACAAAUUACAUGGAUUUCAGUACCCUCCUGGGAACCGAAUAGGUGUUUCCUUCAUUGAUGAUGGAAGUAAUGCAACAGAGUAAGUACCAUUCCAGGAGUGUCUAAAGCCGAGCUUUGAGUGUACAUGAUUGAUAGGACUUGAAGAAUAAAAAUAGAAACAAUUGACCUCUCAGGUGAGAAAGUCACACAAAACAAGCUACUGUUAAAAGACUGAAUAUUUUUAGUUUUCUGUAAAUUAUCAGUUAUUGUUUCCAGUCUCCUUAGAAAAAUGGCAACACAGAUGGUAGCUGCACAGCUUGCAUCAAUGGUGUGGAAUAACCCAAGUCAGCAACAAUUUAUGCAAUUUGGAGGAAGCUCUGGAUCACAGUUGCCUCAAAUCCAGACAGAUGUUGUACUUCCAUCAUGCAAAAAAAAAGCUCCUGCUGAAACUCCUGUGAAAGAAAGACUUUUUAUUGUGUUUAAUCCUCAUCCUUUACCUUUAGACGUAUUAGAAGAUAUAUUCUGUCGUUUUGGUAACCUGAUCGAAGUUUACCUUGUGUCAGGAAAAAAUGUGGGGUAUGCCAAGUAUGCCGAUAGAAUAAGUGCUAAUGAUGCCAUUGCCACUCUACAUGGAAAGAUUCUGAAUGGGGUGAGACUUAAAGUUAUGCUGGCAGAUUCGCCAAGAGAAGAAUCUAACAAACGGCAAAGAACUUACUGAUUCUUGAGAACAAAGACUAAAUAAUGACAUAAUCCUCAGCUGACUGACUGAAAAUGUGACUGGACGCAUUCCCUGUGGACAGUUGACAGCUUUUUUUUUUUCCAUAUACCUGGUAGUCUGUGUACAGCAUUGUUUUGUCUGGGAAGCAGGGAUUGCUGACAUGUAUUUUUGAAUCCAUACAUUAAUGCUAAAAUGAAUAUAGUAGUUGUUCCUUAGAGCAAUAUGUUGUUACGUGUAGCAGAAAUAAAGUUUUCUUUGCUUAACUAAA
rnacentral:sRNA from 1 species